rnacentral:rRNA from 1 species
GACGAACGCUGGCGGCGUGCUUAACACAUGCAAGUCGAACGGAAAGGCCCUGCUUUUGUGGGGUGCUCGAGUGGCGAACGGGUGAGUAACACGUGAGUAACCUGCCCUUGACUUUGGGAUAACUUCAGGAAACUGGGGCGAUUACCGGAUAGGAGCUCCUGCUGCAUGGGGUGGGUUGGAAAGAUUCGGCGGUUGGGGCUAGACUCGCGGCUUAUCAGCUUGUUGGUGGGGUAGUGGCGUACCAAGGCUUUGACGGGUAGCCGGCAUGAGAGGGUGACCAGCCACCUUGGGACUGAGAUACGGCGCAGACUCCAACGGGAGGCAGCAGUGGGGAAUAUUGCACAAUGGGCGGAAGCCUGAUGCAGCAACGCCGCGUGCGUGAUGACGGCCUUCGGGUUGUAAACCGCUUUCGCCUGUGACGAAGCGUGAGUGACGGUAAUGGGUAAAGAAGCACCGGCUAACUACGUG